rnacentral:rRNA from 1 species
GAUGAACGCUAGCGGCAGGCCUAAUACAUGCAAGUCGAACGGUGUCUUCGGACAUAGUGGCGCACGGGUGCGUAACACGUAUGCAACCUACCUUACAUUGGGGGAUAGCCUUUCGAAAGGGAGAUUAAUACCGCAUAAGACAGUAACUAGGCAUCUAGUAGCUGUUAAAGAUUUAUCGAUGUAAGCUGGGCAUGCGUCCAAUUAGCUAGUUGGUGAGGUAACGGCUCACCAAGGCAAUGAUUGGUAGGGGAACUGAGAGGUCAAUCCCCCACACUGGCACAGAGAUACGGGCCAGACUCCUACGGGAGGCAGCAGUAGGGAAUAUUGGGCAAUGGACGCAAGUCUGACCCAGCCAUGCCGCGUGCAGGAUGAAGGCGUUAUGCGUUGUAAACUGCUUUUAUACAGGAAGAAACGACUCUUGCGAGAGGCAUUGACGGUACUGUAUGAAUAAGCACCGGCUAACUCCGCGCCAGCCGCCGCAGUAACAC